rnacentral:rRNA from 1 species
CAGCCGCCGCGGUAAUACAGAGGGUGCAAGCGUUAAUCGGAAUUACUGGGCGUAAAGCGCGCGUAGGUGGUUUGUUAAGUUGAAUGUGAAAUCCCCGGGCUCAACCUGGGAACUGCAUCCAAAACUGGCAAGCUAGAGUAGGGCAGAGGGUGGUGGAAUUUCCUGUGUAGCGGUGAAAUGCGUAGAUAUAGGAAGGAACACCAGUGGCGAAGGCGACCACCUGGGCUCAUACUGACACUGAGGUGCGAAAGCGUGGGGAGCAAACAGGAUUAGAUACCCCGGUAGUCCCUGUCUCUUAUAC